rnacentral:rRNA from 1 species
AUUGAACGCUGGCGGCAGGCCUAACACAUGCAAGUCGAGCGAGCGGCGGAAGGGUGAGUAAUGCCUGGGAAUUGCCCAGUCGAGGGGGAUAACAGUUGGAAAAGACUGCUAAUACCGCAUACGAUUGGAUUGCCCAGGUGGGAUUAGCUAGUUGGUGGGGUAAUGGCUCACCAAGGCGACGAGCCCUAGCUGGUCGGAGAGGAUGAUCAGCCACACGGGAACGGAGACACGGUCCAGACUCCUACGGGAGGCAGCAGAGGGGAAUAUGGCACAAUGGGGGAAACCCUUAUGCAGCCAUGCCGCGUGUGUGAAGAAGGCCUUCGGUUUGUAAAGCACGUUCAGCGGGGAGGCGUUACUCGCAGAAGAAGCACCGGCUAACUCCGUGCCAGCAGCCGCGGUAAUUC